rnacentral:rRNA from 1 species
AAAAACCUUACCUACCCUUGACAUGUACGGAACUUGCCAGAGAUGGCUUGGUGCUCGAAAGAGAGCCGUAACACAGGUGCUGCAUGGCUGUCGUCAGCUCGUGUCGUGAGAUGUUGGGUUAAGUUCCGCAACGAGCGCAACCCUUGUCAUUAGUUGCUACAUUUAGUUGGGCACUCUAAUGAGACUGCCGGUGACAAACCGGAGGAAGGUGGGGAUGACGUCAAGUCCUCAUGGCCCUUAUGGGUAGGGCUACACACGUCAUACAAUGGCUGGUACAAAGGGUUGCCAACCCGCGAGGGGGAGCUAAUCCCAUAAAGCCAGUCGUAGUCCGGAUCGUAGUCUGCAACUCGACUGCGUGAAGUCGGAAUCGCUAGUAAUCGUGGAUCAGAAUGUCACGGUGAAUACGUUCCCGGGUCUUGUACACACCGCCCGUCACACCAUGGGAGCGGGUCUCGCCAGAAGUAGUUAGCCUAACCGCAAGGGGG